GACGGAGGAUGCAAGUGUUAUCCGGAAUCACUGGGCGUAAAGCGUCUGUAGGUGGUUUAAAAAGUCUACUGUUAAAGCUUGAAGCUUAACUUCAAAAAUGCCGUAGAAACUUUUAAACUUGAGUAUGGUAGGGGUAGAGGGAAUUUCCAGUGGAGCGGUGAAAUGCGUAGAUAUUGGAAAGACCACCAAUGGCGAAGGCACUCUACUGGGCCAUUACUGACACUGGAGAGACGAAAGCUAGGGGAGCAAAUGGG
rnacentral:rRNA from 1 species